GCCAGACACAGUGGCGCAUGCCUGUAGUCCCAGCUACUCAGGAGGCUGAGGUGGGAGGAUCACUUGAGCCCAGGAGUUCUGGGCUGUAGUGCGCUAUGCUGAUCAGGUGUCCACACUAAGUUUGGCAUCAAUAUGGUGACCUCCCGGGAGCGGGGGACCACCAGGUUGCCUAAGGAGGGGUGAACCGGCCCAGGUCGGAAAAAGAGCAGGUCAAAACUCCCAUGCUGAUCAGUAGCGGGAUCGCGCCUGUGAACAGCCACUGCACUCCAGCCUGGGCAACACAGCAAGACACCAUCUCU
rnacentral:SRP_RNA from 1 species